UGUCCCUAGUAGGCACCCAUGAGCUCGGCUUUUACCGUCACACCCUAGUUACUAGGGAUCUUGGGAAAGUCCUGGGUUCAGUUAAUUGUUGCGAUUGUGAUGGUUUUUCCUAAAGGAGUUCUAGAUAAUGAAAGCGACGAAGGAGCAGUGAUUCACCGUCUACAGAAACAUUAAAACCCACUUUUGACAGGUAAAAUAACAUGAAGGGAAGGAAAGGGAAGGGGAGGGGAGGGGAGGGGAGGGGAGGGGAAAAUAGCAUUUGUUGGUGCUGUUCUGUUCAUUUUCAAACACACAUGCAGUCACACACACAUAUAAUUCACUCAUAUAUAAUUGUGAAUCAUAAUUAUAACCCCCUCUCACCACCCAAACAUAACAAACUUUGCAUUUUAAGUUGCAGGCAACAGCCAUAGACGGUGAGAGGCCACUGCUCUGAUCCUGGGAUCCUCUAAAGCUGGUUGAAGGGCAACAAGUAGCAAAGAUGUUUCUGGAUCCUAGGAGGUCUGCUUCUUGCUCAUGGAGUUGGGAGAAUGAAAUGACAUCGCACGGGCACGGUCACCGAUGCAUUUGGAAAAAUUCCCCCAAGUUUUAAGGCGAAUAAAAAGACUACAUUACCAAAUUAUCCAGGUUUAGAACAAGAUUCUUUUCACGGCUGGCUGGAAAUUUAAUGGGCUUGUGUAAACAUUUAUAGCCCGACAGGGGCUGCUCCUUAAGACACGACGUUGUGAAG